AGUUGCUGGCAGGGACUGGGGGUGCAAGGAAGGUGCUCCUAGCUGGCUGCUGGGUCUCAAGCAAGACUUCAGCCCAAGGGACUGUGUGAGACUUGGCUGGAGGACUGAGUCACUGAAAACCCACCUGAAAAGAAGAAGUGCCAGCAGAGAGCACCGCAAAAACAGAGAGAGAACAGGCACACGCACACCUGUUAGGGGGGCGCUCACAUGAGGUUUUCUCCUGACACCCUCCCACUUAUUCCUUCAAUUCAAAUCUCCCUUCACUGCCACCUCUAUUGUAAUUGUCAGAGGCAAGCUCUGAACAGCCUGAAACAACAGGAGUUCUGAGGGCACAACCCCCUGCAUCAGAUAUAAAAGAAACAGAUGCCCUGUGAUGGGGUGUAUUAACCCUGCACCGGUGAGGCGAGGGUUAAGGAGCUGCACUGGACACAGGAAGCCAUGCGCCCUUGCUCCUGCUGGGCAGUGCAGGGAGCAUUCAAAAGGAAACAGCUCAGCUCAGUCUGGGCUGACCAGGGAGGAGAGCAGUUGGGUGCACCAGCCUCCUGCAGAGACGUUGCCAGAACUUCAAGCAGAUGGGACCAGGCCUCAAAGUCAAGCUGCUGUAGGCCCUUUAAUGGCGGGAGCCGAAGGUGAUGACUUGCUGCCACCUGGGGAAGGUGUUCCAGAGAUGGACCUGAGAGGGAUCCCAAGCAGACCCAUGCCACUGACGGAGAGACAGAAACAAGGGUAGGAAGUGACCCAGGGAGCUAGAGUAAGGGUACCAGGCUGUUGGCCACUUAUAGGGACUACUGUUCUGAAGGGCCCUGGGCUGGAACUCAGUGGAGUUGGGUGGGCCCGGGUUCCCCUCCCCUCCCCCUUUUUUGUUUGCAGACAGUAGUUGCAAAGCGGCCCUGGACUCUCGCCGUUUGGGUUACAUAGCUCCGAGUGUCGCCACUAGGUGGUACUGCUGGCCUUGGACAUUCGAACAGCCAUCCCCAUACAGCUGCACUGAAAAUGCCACUAGUACCUUUAAACAAACCACUUCAGAGAGAGGGAAACCAUACAUCCCAUUCAGAAAAUAGGGUCCUAUUUCAUAUGAUGCAAAUAUUGCCCAAGAACCAGAAAUGGACAAUGCCUACAACUCUGAAUGAAAUCAUUCUCUCUCACGCUGUGCCAGUUAUAUACCUCAGCAGCCAGCUCAUCCCCCUGCCCCCCCCCCCCCCCGUGACUCCCCUGUACUGAAACCUCUGUAACACACAUGUGGAAGUAAUAGGAGAACUUAGAUUCAUAGGCUCAGACAUCAAAAACAAGAGACUGUCAGAUUUUGAUACCUCAUU